rnacentral:tRNA from 1 species
CAAGUUAAAGCUAUUAGGCAUUUUAUUUACAUUAAAAAGAUUUAUUGAGAAAUUCAGUAUAAUUUGA